rnacentral:lncRNA from 1 species
CUAAGAACAAUAUAUAUAAAUAUUAAUAUUUCAAAUGUAGAAAUUACAUACUCCAAUAUAUAUUAAAAUAGUAGAUGUUGGAAUCAUUACAACUAAUUAGAGUUAGAAAUUAACAGAAAAAAUAACAAAAAAAUCUCUUGAAAUUUGUACAGUUCUUCGAUUGAUCAUAAUCAAUUUCUUGUUUUGUAUUAUCUUCAGGUCCAACCUGAAAGAAUUAAAAAAAAAUGUACAAACUUAUUAAAAUAGUAUUAAGUUUUAAAUAAAAUAAGAUUAAUAGAAAAGUAUCCAAUCAACAUUUUAAUGAAAAUUAUGCAUCUAUACCUGAUCAAAAAAGGAAUAUGGGUGGACGCAAAUGAACCAAGAGAAUAUUUCUCUUCUGUCAUGAUAGACCUAAUGAUAAUUAGAUAAUAAGUGAACCUGCAAUCAAUAAGACAAAGUAAUUAACAAGUAUGACAUUAUUUUUCAUUGCUAUUAUCACAUUAAACUAACAUGUAUAUCCAUUCCUAUCCUUUUGGGAGAAAAGUUCUAUUCAUAUGUCUAUCCUUCAAAAUGUUUAAAAUAGCAUUAAUUACAAAAGAUUCAAAAUAAUAGUAAAUCCUUCCUUGUCUUUAUCGAUUUCUUUAAUAAAAGAGAAAAAUAAUACAGGCAAUCUUAGAUUUUAGCACAAAGAUAUAAAGAGCAUAUUAGGAAUCUGAAAAUAAUAUUAAUAUAAACAAGAAUAUCCACUACAUUUCUUAAUUUGAGUACUACAACUUUAAAAGAAGGACAAACUAUCAUUAUUUGCACUAGCAUAUAAAGAGUUUUACUGACUUACCAGCAGUCUCAAUCAUGUCAUCUACCAUAACCGCUACCUUUCCUCUUACAUCAUCUAUCAAAUUCAGCACUUGCAAGAUGAGAUUCACCAAAUAAAAUAAAAAAAAUCCUAGAAGGUGUUGUAGUUUAUAAUUAUAGUUUAUAAACUAAGAUUUAUCAUCAGUGAGGAAUAACAAUAAUAAUAAUAACAAGAAGAAAAAAUGUAGGAUAUGGUUUAGGUAACAUACAAAAGACUAAAAGACUUAAAGUGAAGGUAAACAUUUCGUUAUAUUCAAAAAGGUUCAUUGUAGUGUCCAACUCACCCCCCAUACCAUACCCCAAAAUCAUAGUAUUCCAAAAGGCCACGUCCUUUUGAAUAGUGUCAAAGAACUUUGUAGCGAGAUCUAUUCGUCCACACCUGGUAUACAAAUCCAAGAGCGAAUUCGCUGCAAAAAGAUGAGUGUGAAAAAGUUUUCUCACCAGCAGACCAUGGACCUCUUUGCCUUGUCUUACUGAAGCUAGAUUUGCACAUCCUUAAACUAAACCCAUGAACUUCCAUUCCCAACUUGAAAAGUCCUAAUUCUCCUAAUACAGGUAGCAUUCCAGGAAACCACAUUUCUCUCAUCAAUUUCAUCAAAAACUUUCUUGGAAGCCUUCUCACUCCCACACUUCUCAUACACGUCAACCAACGCAUUUCCAACCUUCACAUUGCCCAACAAUCCAACCUUCAAUGCAUAACAGUGCACGUUUCUNNNNNNNNNNNNNNNNNNNNNNNNNNNNNNNNNNNNNNNNNNNNNNNNNNNNNNNNNNNNNNNNNNNNNNNNNNNNNNNNNNNNNNNNNNNNNNNNNNNNGCCAUCACCUCAACCUCAAUUUCCGCACACACUGGCAGCACACUUACAAUGGUAACUAGGUCCAGUUGAAUCCGCGGCACGACCACAACCAUCUCCUUAAAAAACCUGAGCGCCUCCGUGUAAAAUCCAUAAAGAGAACACAAGCCAAUAAUAGUAUUCCACGACACCUUAUCCCUAUCCGCCAUUUCAUCAAAUACCUUCAUUGCAUCGUCAAGAAGCCUACAAUUCCCGUAAAAGGCCAAUAGGGUAUUCCCAACAAAGUAGUCUGUUAUAAGAGAUUAUAUUAUUGGAUUUGGAACCCAUGAAGAUUCACUCAACAGAGUUAUUAUUGUAAUUCGAGUCGAAAUUGAACCGUUGAAAACCUGAUUCGAAUACUCUAACAUGUUCAAGUUUCCUUGAAUCUAUCUUAUGGUUAAACAAAAAUGUGGGAUUGGGACAAAUCAGGAUAACUCAACAUUCAAAUAAUCCAUAUCAAUAACUUAAUUAGUCAAAUAAUCCUCAUCAAAACUAAAGAAGAGCGAAAUGAGAGACGAACCGGUGAGAAUGUUCGAACAACCCGUGAAACGCACCGCUGAAAGAAAACCACCACCAAACGCACCACCGGAGGAAAACGACCCACUAAGAGGUAGGAAAAGAAGUAGGGCAUAAGAAAUGGAGGAAGAAACUAAUUCUGAGAAAUCAAACAGAGUAAACAGAAUUACAAAUUGGAAGCCCUAAUACAAGAAUAGAGAAAACUCUGUGUGCCAAAAAUUAUUCAAAAAAAUCUGAAUUAUGAGAGACGAAGAUGAGAAGAGUUCUUUUGAAUUCUGAAUCGGAUGCACUGUGUUUUCAAGAUGUACCAUUAUGCCUCUGUUUUUUUUUAAAAGGAUAUUGUCUCUCUCAAACCAUGCCUCCAAACCUUCAGUGUAU